UACAGAGGGGGCAAGCGUUGUUCGGAAUUACUGGGCGUAAAGGGCGCGUAGGCGGCCUUCUAAGUCGAACGUGAAAUCCCUGGGCUCAACCCAGGAACUGCGUCCGAUACUGGAAGGCUUGAAUCCGGGAGAGGGAUGCGGAAUUCCAGGUGUAGCGGUGAAAUGCGUAGAUAUCUGGAGGAACACCGGUGGCGAAGGCGGCGUCCUGGACCAACACUGACACUGAUGAGCGAAAGCCGGGGGAGCAAACGGG
rnacentral:rRNA from 1 species